AUUGAACGCUGGCGGCAUGCCUUACACAUGCAAGUCGAACGGUAACAGGUCUUCGGAUGCUGACGAGUGGCGAACGGGUGAGUAAUACAUCGGAACGUGCCUAGUAGUGGGGGAUAACUACUCGAAAGAGUGGCUAAUACCGCAUGAGAUCUACGGAUGAAAGCAGGGGAUCGCAAGACCUUGUGCUACUAGAGCGGCCGAUGGCAGAUUAGGUAGUUGGUGGGAUAAAAGCUUACCAAGCCGACGAUCUGUAGCUGGUCUGAGAGGACGAUCAGCCACACUGGGACUGAGACACGGCCCAGACUCCUACGGGAGGCAGCAGUGGGGAAUUUUGGACAAUGGGCGCAAGCCUGAUCCAGCAAUGCCGCGUGCAGGAUGAAGGCCUUCGGGUUGUAAACUGCUUUUGUACGGAACGAAAAGCCCUGGGUUAAUACCCUGGGGUCAUGACGGUACCGUAACAAUAAGCACCGGCUAACUACGUGCCAGCCGCCGCGCUAAAAC
rnacentral:rRNA from 1 species